CCAAACUUGGUCAUUUAGAGGAAGUAAAAGUCGUAACAAGGUUUCCGUAGGUGAACCUGCGGAAGGAUCAUUAUUGAAUGUACCUGAUAGGUUGUUGCUGGCUCUCAUGGGGCAUGUGCACACCUGUUUUGAACUUCAUGCAUCCACCUGUGCACUCUCUGUAGCCAUCUUGUGGGCUGAGUGUAGUAGUGGCUGUCAGUUAACAAAAGCUGGAUGUGGGGAUUGCCCAAUGGGCUCUUCUCUUCUUCUUGGCCAUGAAGCCUCCCUCAAAUGGCUAUGUCUUUGAUCAUAAACCAGUAGUAUGUUGCCAGAAUGUAGUCAAUGGGCCUUUGUGCCUCUAGUAAUCCUUAUACAACUUUCAGCAACGGAUCUCUUGGCUCUCGCAUCGAUGAAGAACGCAGC
rnacentral:misc_RNA from 1 species